GAACGCUGGCGGCGUGCCUAAUACAUGCAAGACGAGCGAACGGACGAGAAGCUUGCUUCUCUGAUGUUAGCGGCGGACGGGUGAGUAACACGUGGAUAACCUACCUAUAAGACUGGGAUAACUUCGGGAAACCGGAGCUAAUACCGGAUAAUAUUUUGAACCGCAUGGUUCAAAAGUGAAAGACGGUCUUGCUGUCACUUAUAGAUGGAUCCGCGCUGCAUUAGCUAGUUGGUAAGGUAACGGCUUACCAAGGCAACGAUGCAUAGCCGACCUGAGAGGGGGAUCGGCCACACUGGAACUGAGACACGGUCCAGACUCCUACGGGAGGCAGCAGUAGGGAAUCUUCCGCAAUGGGCGAAAGCCUGACGGAGCAACGCCGCGUGAGUGAUGAAGGUCUUCGGAUCGUAAAACUCUGUUAUUAGGGAAGAACAUAUGUGUAAGUAACUGUGCACAUCUUGACGGUACCUAAUCAGAAAGCCACGGCUAACUACGUG
rnacentral:rRNA from 1 species